UAGAGAAUCUAUAACUAUAUAUAAUAACUGUCCCCCUUUAGGUUUUAUAUUGAUAGAUUAGCAAUGUAAUAAAAAGAGAUUAGCAAACUAAUUUUGGGAUGGGUGUGGUUUUUAAGCUUGGUUAUUUGGGAAGAAAAAAUCUAAAGCUUUCCAGAAGCUUUUGUCUCUCUCCCGAUUCUCCUUUUCUACCACUUUCCUUUUUGCUAACUCUUACCCUCUUUCUUUUCAUACUGCCAAUCACCAACGCUCACUUCUUGCUCCUCCACCAUCGAUGACCCACUUCUGCAUGUAUGGGAUUGUUGUAACAGACAUGUAGAGAAAAAGAAUCCAAAAGGAAGUGGUUCAGUAAAAGACGUGGAGUCGAAAGGUGAGCUUGAUGGCUUGUGGCAGUGGCACACCAAUUAUCCUUCACUUCUAGGCUUACUGGUGUGACGCUUCGAUAGGUAUAUGUCAAUGUACCUCAACAACUGUCGGCGCAUAGCUUUCUAUGAGGGAAUUGGACUUGACACUAAAGAAUUUGACAUGCACGUCAUCAUUGAGGCUAUUCUCCCAUUCCUCUACAUGAGUUCUUGCCAUCAAGUCCCCAAGCUUCCCAUAUAGGGGGGAAGGGUUUCAGGAAGGGUUCUAUAGGAGAGAGUGAUUUUGAAGCUUUCAGUUGCAACUUUCAGCAUCAAUUCUUGGAGAAGAAGUUGGUCUUUUCUAAAUCUUUUUUAUCUUAGUCCUAAUUUAUGCUAUUGCAUGAAUUGCAUAAAAAAUUAGAACCAAUUAAUUGUGUUUCAAAUCUCAUAUUUUUAGAUUGUUAUUUUUAAUUACCAAGCGCAUUUAUAGGUUUAGAUAAAGAUGUUUCUUAUGAGUCACAGUAUAUAGUUGAAUGCUUGAAUCUCUGUGCUUCUAAUGGUCAUGUUAUUGUUUUUGGUUGUCGUCCUACGAUGUUGGAUCAGUGUCUAAAUUUUAUCAGAAAAUGGUCCAACAAAGAGAGAGAAGCCAUUUGGUAAGGAUUUGGACUCUGUCGAGCAACUGAGUUCCCAGAUUGAGCAGUUAUUUGAUGAACCACAAGUUUACCAUAUUGAUCACUAUUUGGGAAAGGAAUUAGUCAAAAACCUGGUGAUGAGUUUGUAAACAGGUUCUUUGUAUUUCUUAAUUUCUUUAGCAGCUCUGCUCAUAUCUAGCUUUAUAGCAUUUGCAGUUGGUAUUUUGUUUUGCUAAUCACUUCUUCUUGCCCCUUUGGAAUAGGGACAACAUUGAUAAUGCACAAGUGAGCAUUCUUCUUUUGUGGAUGUUUAAUAAUUACAAAAUGUUAUGGGGAAAGUGUUGCACUAUUGAUUAGGUUAGGAUAGGCCUUAUAGGCUUACUGGGACACAAGCAAUAUAAACCGGGAAUGGUGUUCAAUCCUUCCAAUGUAA